UUUAGAGAACUAGAUUUCUGUACCACCCAGCAACUGGAAUAUGUUUAUCUCAGUCUUCCACGCAAGAUGCUGACAUGGCAAUAUGCAAUGAAUCUGAUUUAUCACAAAGAUGGACAUUUCUGAACCUAUAAUGUCUACUAAAUAUAUUGUCCCUCGGCUGACUCGUAUCCAGUCGUCAAAGCUAAAAAUUAUACAUUAUGACUACAUAUGUAGUUCAGUGGAUUGAGGAGUGUGAAUCACUCCCAUCAUGCACUAUUAUUUUUUCAAUCCUCAUUCAGGGACUAGGUACGAGUCAGGUCUCUCGGUACAAAAGCAAGUUUUGCAAUUGGCAAAUUUUCCCUGAAAAAUAUUCUUGCAAGUUUUGAAAGGGCAGCGAAUAACUUUAAACCACGCGCGUAUUUUAUAAAUGAUAAAUUUUAUUAGCCAACAUUUCGCUACUUACAAUACAAAAAAGAGCUCUGAAAAUAUUGUAUUGUAAACAACGAAACGUUGGCUAAUAAAAUUUAUAGAAAAAUCCUUGCUAGUGUUUAGAACAAAAUUGACAAUGAACCAAGAAGGCAUUCAGAAUCUCUUCAAAGCUUUGGACAAAUAAACUUGCAUGUGUGUACUACGAACAAAUGCAAUUACGAAUGGAAGCUUUACGGGAUUAUUUUCCAUGAAACCUUCUGCAUGCUUCUACCUAAGCAAGUCUACCUUCUGGUGUAUAAUUUUGACAGUGUAAAGAGUUAGCCUGUGUUCCAGUCCAUUACACCGUUGUGUCCCACUAUACA